AGGUCACGCCUGCCCGGUGACUUUAAGUUUAACGGCCGCGGUAUUUUGACCGUGCGAAGGUAGCGCAAUCACUUGUCUCUUAAAUGGGGACCUGUAUGAAUGGCAUCACGAGGGCUUAACUGUCUCCUUUCUUAGGCCAAUGAAAUUGAUCUCUCCGUGCAGAAGCGGGGAUAACCACAUAAGACGAGAAGACCCUAUGGAGCUUUAGACACCAAGACAGCUUAUGUCAAAUACCCCUAUAUAAAGGCCCGAACUAAAUAAGCCCUGUCCUAAUGUCUUUGGUUGGGGCGACCCUGGGGAGAUAAAGAGCCCCCAUGUGGAAUGAAAACAUUGUUUUCAAAACCAAGAGCUACCGCUCUAAGCAGCAGAACUUCUGACCAACGAGAUCCGGCCAAGCCGAUCAACGGACCGAGUUACCCUAGGGAUAACAGCGCAAUCCCCUUUUAGAGCCCAUAUCGACAAGGGGGUUUACGACCUCGAUGUUGGAUCAGGACAUCCUAAUGGUGCAGCCGCUAUUAAGGGUUCGUUUGUUCAACGAUUAAAG
rnacentral:rRNA from 1 species